ensembl:lncRNA
UUGUACCAAGAAAAAGUUCAACAAUAAGAUACGAGGAGGAAGAAGAACGACAUGAACAAACGGCUUUGAGACUUUCAAGUAAUGUUGAGCCAUGUUGUUGUUAUUUUGUUAUUGCGCAUGGGGGUCUCACAGUAUAUCAGUAUCAUUAUAUCGACAUCACCAGUAUUAUUACUACCAAGCAUCAUCAAACGCUGUGUCGGAUCCGUAGGCCGGGUCGGUGUUAGAGACAGCAUGUAGUGUCAUGUCGAUGGAGGGACAGUUGUGGAUGGAGUACACGCAGCCUUCGGCCAGGAUGGCCUGCUGGUGUAGGGGGCAGACGCAGCUGGAAAGAAACACGUCUGGGCUGUGGGGCGCCCGUUCACAGGCUGGGGAGAGGGGUUCAACAGUGAAGGAAAAGAGGUCGAGGGGUGUCACAGUGAAGGAGAAGAGGGUUCAAAGUGAAGGAGAAGAAGGUAAGAGGGGUUCACAGUGAAGGAGAAGAGGGUUCAGAUGAAGGAGAAGAGGGUUCACAGUGAAGGAGAAGAGGGGUUCACAGUGAAGGAGAAGAGGGGUUCACAGUGAAGGAGAAGAGGGGUUCACAGUGAAGGAGAAGAGGGAAGAGGGGUUGUUUUUACCUUUUAUUAAGUAGUGAAAAAAGUACUGAGAGUGGAGUACACAGAUGACCCAAAUACUGUCUGUUUUAUAUACAACACAAGUAACCUGAUUAAUUAGCCUGGUCCCAGAUCUGUUCAUAUCAUCUUGCCAACUCUAAUGGUCAUUGGCGAGACAGCACCCCUGGAUCUGGGACCAGGCUAGGGAUUAAUGUCACUCAAACUGAAAUAAAACUGAGUACUUACCCUGUCAACCUUGAUGAUCUGGAACUUCUGAGUGAUGUCAGCGGGGUUGGAGGGCAGUCUGGACCUUCCGGACACGAAGCGCAGGAAUAGAACCCGCUCCUCAUUGGCAAACUCCUCCAGACUCUGCCACAGCCAGCCAAUCAGCUGGUGACUGUCUGUGAUAUCGCGGUAUCGGACUACUUUCUUGAGCAUCUCCACAGAGACCUCGGGCAGACCGCAGACCAGCUGUUCUAGCUGGCGCGCCGUGAGUAGAGAGAGGAGAGGCACCGGGAUGAUGGAGGACAUCCCCUCUCUCACCGCUGCUACCUACAGAUAAACAACAACGUGAGCGAGCGCAGACCAGCUGGAACCAUCACAACAGCCGGGACAGACACAGCACAACGACGAUACAGCAGUGUACAACAACACCACCUGUCUGUCCAUCUCGUGCAGGCGGUAGUCCAGAGUCCUCUCUACGUAGUCACUCUUGUUGGAGAAGGUGAGAGAGAUGUUGUGUCCCCCAGGGACCACCGCCACCAGCUUCCCAUCUGCACUGUGGGCCAUGAACGAGUCCAGAGGAAUCAUCUGGAGACAGACAGAACACAUUACACAUAACUCUCAGAACACAGUGACAGAUGUGAUCCCUUUUUAUGGUGUAUGAAAACAAACUGAAAAGAGUCAUUGCUAAGUAGUCAGGAAAAAUGACAUCCCUGCAGCAGGAACCUGGUGAUGCAGGUCAGUUUGAACAUGCCUCUGGCUAAAGUCAGCAAAGAGCGGGAUCUAGCUCUAUAAACCAGUUUCCCGGAAACAGAUUAAGCCUAGUCAUGGACUAAAAAGCACAUUCGAUGGAGAACACCCAUUGCGUUCAAUGGAGAACACCCAUUGCAAACGAAUAGCUUUUCAGUCCAGAACUAGCUAAGGUUAAUCUCUGUCUGGGAAACAGCCCCUGUAUGCAUCAUAUCCUCCCUCACCACGUGGAAGUUGUCCUCUGUGAUACCGCUGUUGUCCAGGUGCCGGAUGCCGUGCAGGGAGCGGUAGGUAAGCAGGUCCACCUCCUCCAGGUCCGGCCCACCCAGGGGAAUACAACACAGCUGCUUCCACACCAUGGGGGCAAGGUGCAGGUCCAGGGGCUUCUUGGUACGGAUGGCCACCGCCAUCAGGAUGCCUAGGAAACGGAACUGGACCAUGUGGUCUUCAGAGACUGCCGCUGGGUUCAGCAGGAACCUGACAGGGGGAAUUAGAAUCAGAUUGUUUAACCAAAACUCCAGGAGAAACACAAGACAGGAAAGGCCUAUUGGUUCACUUCACACACAGUAGGAGCUUUCGCAGCAGGCAAAGGUGGCUGAAAUGAUGUCAUUACGUCACAUAAUCCAAUCGAACCCCGGGAGACACCAGACCCCAGCGGGCAAAGCCGAUGUAGAGUACGUCAUCACAAGCAGAAACUUUCCCAGGGACAGGGCCUGGUUGCAUAAAACAACAUAAGUGUUUCCCUUAAGGAAUACUUUUCCCUUACCCGAGGAAAUGUUUUUAAGGGUGUUGCAUAGAGCCCCUAAAACAUUUCCUUAGGUAAGGGCAUCAUUUAAGUGGUUUUACGGUAGUUUGAAGGCAUGUACGGCAGAAAGAGUCUCUUGGUUACCGUGGAGACAACCUUCACUGACUGAAUCUCUCGUCAAAGAGAUAAUAUUUAUUUGGGGAGAUCGCAAAAUAGAGAUUCUACAUUCAAGACAUGAAAAACAAAUUGAUUCAGAAGAUAAUAGUCUAGUUUCACAUCAAACUAGACUACAGAGUAGGUUAUCCUUCAAAUGAUGUGUGGAACUUUAAAGGACAAGGAAGGAUUUAACUUUAGGAUGGUUAAUGCAUCCAGCCCCAGGUCUAUUGCUUCACUAUCCACAUGGUAGGCAGAGCUUAGAUUUAAAGGAACUCACAGCUGGUAAGAUCGAUGGCUUUACCAUGAAAAGGAAUAUCAAGACAAAGACUAUGAGACCGUGUGUGGAGAGCAAAGAGAGAAUAUGAGACCGUGUGGAGAGCAGAGAGAGAAUAUGAGACCAUGUGGAGAGCAGAGAUAACAUGAGACCAUGUGGAGAGCAGAGAGAGAAUAUGAGACCAUGUGGAGAGCAGAGAUAAACAUGAGACCAUGUGGAGAGCAGAGAUAACAUGAGACCAUGUGGAGAGCAGAGACAACAUGAGACCAUGUGGAGAGCAGAGAGAGAAUAUGAGANNNNNNNNNNNNNNNNNNNNNNNNNCUGUGGAAGCAGAGAUAACAUAUAUAGGACUUUUCACAAUUUUAGUAAGUAGUAGUCACUGGGUGGGACUUCCUAUGGGUUCAGGAAGGAUCACAUGAAGGGACAAGCCAAUAAUUACACGUGUGAGCAAAAACCUUGGCUAUACUGUUCAAACACACAUUCUAGAGGAUAGUAUGCGCCUUUCAGUUUUUUACCAACUCAUAGAAGUAAGUAGAAUAAGAAAUGGGCUACGUCAAAAUGGAGAUGGCCUCAAUGGCACUGCCCUGCUCUCACAGACGGCCAUAAAGAGACAGAUACAAUGAUGUGAUGUCUAUCUAAGUCAUGGUGUUGUGUGAAUUAAUCAAUGUCUGUGACAAACUGAAUUAGCCAUAUGGUCAGCAAUGGCAUCAGUCACUAUGGGAGUGGAUUACAUCCAGAGUCUCUUAACUUAUCUCCACAUUGGUCGGCUCUGGCCCUACCCUCCUCCGCCCUCCUGAAUUAGAACCCCUGACCCUUCCAUCUCCAUGUGUGAGUGCUGUUGAGGCACACAUGUCAAAACACUAGAUGGGAGGGAUCUCAGCCCUCUGUCGUCUCCUCUAUUGCCUCCUUCUUUCAACUUUACAUCCUAUGGUGUGUGUUGGACCAUGUGUAAGUCAUGUCUUAUUAAGGAGAGUACCC